AUUGAACGCUGGCGGCAGGCCUAACACAUGCAAGUCGAGCGGAGCGGCGGACGGGUGAGUAAUGCCUAGGAAUCUGCCUGGUAGUGGGGGAUAACGUCCGGAAACGGGAGCUAAUACCGCAUACUAUCAGAUGAGCCUAGGGCGGAGUAGCUAGUUGGUGGGGUAAAGGCCGACCAAGGCGAAGAGCCGUAACUGGUGUGAGAGGAGGAUCAGUAACACUGGAACUGAGACACGGUCCAGACUCCUACGGGAGGCAGCAGUGGGGAAUAUUGGACAAUGGGCGAAAGCCUGAUCCAGCCAUGCCGCGUGUGUGAAGAAGGUCUUCGGAUUGUAAAGCACUUUAAGUUGGGAGGCGUUACCAACAGAAUAAGCACCGGCUAACUUCGUGCCAGCAGCCGCGGUAAUUC
rnacentral:rRNA from 1 species